AUUGAACGCUGGCGGCAGGCCUAACACAUGCAAGUCGAGCGGUAACAGGAAGGAAGCUUGCUUUCUUUGCUGACGAGCGGCGGACGGGUGAGUAAUGCCUGGGAAAUUGCCCUGAUGUGGGGGAUAACCAUUGGAAACGAUGGCUAAUACCGCAUGAUGCCCUUGUUUAUAAUGAACAGGGACCAAAGAGGGGGACCUUCGGGCCUCUCGCGUCAGGAUAUGCCCAGGUGGGAUUAGCUAGUUGGUGAGGUAAUGGCUCACCAAGGCGACGAUCCCUAGCUGGUCUGAGAGGAUGAUCAGCCACACUGGAACUGAGACACGGUCCAGACUCCUACGGGAGGCAGCAGUGGGGAAUAUUGCACAAUGGGCGCAAGCCUGAUGCAGCCAUGCCGCGUGUAUGAAGAAGGCCUUCGGGUUGUAAAGUACUUUCAGUCGUGAGGAAGGGGGUAUCGUUAAUAGCGGUAUUCUUUGACGUUAGCGACAGAAGAAGCACCGGCUAACUCCGUGCCAGCAGCCGCGGUAAUACGGAGGGUGCGAGCGUUAAUCGGAAUUACUGGGCGUAAAGCGCAUGCAGGUGGUUUGUUAAGUCAGAUGUGAAAGCCCGGGGCUCAACCUCGGAGUUGCAUUUGAAACUGGCAGGCUAGAGUACUGUAGAGGGGGGUAGAAUUUCAGGUGUAGCGGUGAAAUGCGUAGAGAUCUGAAGGAAUACCGGUGGCGAAGGCGGCCCCCUGGACAGAUACUGACACUCAGAUGCGAAAGCGUGGGGAGCAAACAGGAUUAGAUACCCUGGUAGUCCACGCUGUAAACGAUGUCUACUUGGAGGUUGUGGCCUUGAGCCGUGGCUUUCGGAGCUAACGCGUUAAGUAGACCGCCUGGGGAGUACGGUCGCAAGAUUAAAACUCAAAUGAAUUGACGGGGGCCGCACAAGCGGUGGAGCAUGUGGUUUAAUUCGAUGCAACGCGAAGAACCUUACCUACUCUUGACAUCUACAGGAUCCUGCGGAGACGCGGGAGUGCCUUCGGGAACUGUAAGACAGGUGCUGCAUGGCUGUCGUCAGCUCGUGUUGUGAAAUGUUGGGUUAAGUCCCGCAACGAGCGCAACCCUUAUCCUUGUUUGCCAGCGAGUAAUGUCGGGAACUCCAGGGAGACUGCCGGUGAUAAACCGGAGGAAGGUGGGGACGACGUCAAGUCAUCAUGGCCCUUACGAGUAGGGCUACACACGUGCUACAAUGGCGCAUACAGAGGGCGGCGAGCUAGCGAUAGUGAGCGAAUCCCAAAAAGUGCGUCGUAGUCCGGAUUGGAGUCUGCAACUCGACUCCAUGAAGUCGGAAUCGCUAGUAAUCGUGGAUCAGAAUGCCACGGUGAAUACGUUCCCGGGCCUUGUACACACCGCCCGUCACACCAUGGG
rnacentral:rRNA from 1 species